GAUGGACAUAAAUAAAUAAAUAAUCCUCCUCUACAUUUCGUCUUAGAGAUAACAAAAAUUAAUUUUCACAUUUUUCUUCCCACUGCAGUUUUAAUGAACUAUUUGCAAUUUGAGACAUAUUCUGCUCAAAACAUCAGGGGUUAGAGUAGUGGAUCCUUCUCAAUCAAAUAAGGAACUAGAAGACCUACAAGGCAGGGGGUUGGACUAUAUGGCCAAUGUGAUGUCUUCCAACUCUAUGAUUCUUAGUGUAGUUCAAGAGCCAGCAUGGUGCAAUGACUUAAGUGCUGGACUACAACUCUAGAGAAAAGGUUCAAAUCCUUGCUCAGACAUAUCUGUUCUUCCCCAUUUAAAACAUUUGCCUUCUUGGCCACACUUUGACAUUGCUUGGCUACACAUGUCCCAGUUCUUAACUGUGAAAUGUUGGAGAAUAUGAAAGCAUGCACAUAUUUCAUCAACUGUGGCCCCUUCUAGACUGCCCUAUAUCCCAGGAUCUGAUCCCAGGAUAUCUUCUUAUCCCAGAUUAUUUGGCAGUGUAGACUUAUAUAAUCCAGUUUAAAACAGAUAAUCUGGGAUCAGAUCCUGGAUAUAGAGAAGUGUAGAUCCAAUCUGUGAUAGGAUUGCGCACAAACACCUUUCUCAAGAAUGGAGAAUGUGCUUAGACAAUUAAAUCAAGAUCUGUAAACACACAGACAAAAACAGAGAUUUGUUUACCCUGUGAUAUCAACAACUACUAGUCCCAGUGUAGGAAAAACACCUGGUGAAAGAGCAAAGCACAGCACCAUAAAACAACAGAAGCCAGUACUGUGACUUCUAGCUUUGUUGGCUGCAAAUCAUACUCACUGCUUUCAUGCAGCUUUGCGUUAUAGUAACAUUACAGCACAAAUUCAAAGUAUCGAAUAACAUUUUUUGCAUUCUAUUUGGACCUAAAAUAUAUAUCAGGACUGGAUGAAGUUUUGCUGCUCUGCAUUGUUGCUGUUAAUGUGUCUUCAUUUCCAUCCUGACUUACUGUGACCCUAUAGUAGGGUUUUCCUGGCAAGAAUUAUUCAGAGGAGAUGGACCUUUACCUUGUCCUUUGGCUGAAAAAGUCACCUCAUGGGUUUUCAUGGCUGAAUAGAGAUCUGAACUCUGGACUCCCAGUCGCUGUCC
rnacentral:lncRNA from 1 species